rnacentral:rRNA from 1 species
AUUGAACGCUGGCGGCAGGCCUAACACAUGCAAGUCGAGCGGAUGAAGGGAGCUUGCUCCUGGAUUCAGCGGCGGACGGGUGAGUAAUGCCUAGGAAUCUGCCUGGUAGUGGGGGAUAACGUCCGGAAACGGGCGCUAAUACCGCAUACGUCCUGAGGGAGAAAGUGGGGGAUCUUCGGACCUCACGCUAUCAGAUGAGCCUAGGUCGGAUUAGCUAGUUGGUGGGGUAAAGGCCUACCAAGGCGACGAUCCGUAACUGGUCUGAGAGGAUGAUCAGUCACACUGGAACUGAGACACGGUCCAGACUCCUACGGGAGGCAGCAGUGGGGAAUAUUGGACAAAGGGCGAAAGCCUGAUCCAGCCAUGCCGCGUGUGUAAAGAAGGUCUUCGGAUUGUAAAGCACUUUAAGUUGGGAGGAAGGGCAGUAAGUUAAUACCUUGCUGUUUUGACGUUACCAACAGAAUAAGCACCGGCUAACUUCGUG